rnacentral:rRNA from 1 species
UACGUAGGGUGCAAGCGUUGUCCGGAAUUAUUGGGCGUAAAGAGCUCGUAGGCGGCCUGUCACGUCGGCUGUGAAAACCCGGGGCUCAACCCCGGGCCUGCAGUCGAUACGGGCAGGCUAGAGUCCGGCAGGGGAGACUGGAAUUCCUGGUGUAGCGGUGAAAUGCGCAGAUAUCAGGAGGAACACCGGUGGCGAAGGCGGGAUCCUGGGCCAGUACUGACGCUGAGGAGCGAAAGCGUGGGGAGCAAACAGG